CUCGCCCGCCAUACGACGCCUCCUUUACAAAGUCAGCGCACAAGGCCUCCCGGUCUGUCAUUCAGCAACGACUGGGGCUUUUUUCUGUUCUUCUCGCCGUGUGUCUUUGUGUGUGUGUGUGUGCCCGCCAUGGCUGGAGGUGCCACUGGUGCAGCACACAGCAACUACCCACACACAUUUUCAGCUGAGCUUAUCCGUCAUUGCGAGGAUGGAUGCAUUCCACCCCAGGUGUUCGCUGACGCGCGUGCGUUGCUCGACGACGAAUACCGUCGCCGCUAUGUUCGUAUUAAUCCGAGAUGCGAGGAACGAGUACUGGACGCCGGGGCGGAAGCCAUUCUGCGGCUGGACGCACACUCGACGGCAGCACGGAUGGGCACAAGCACGUUGCUGUCUCCUGAAGAACAGAGGAUGGUCACCACGCUGCAUGCCUCUAUGCGUGCAGGUGCCACAAGGGCAUCCUCGACGGCCACCGAUGAGGCCGUCGCUUCGCAGGGUCGAAAGCGCAACACUCGCGACGACGCUCCGCGCGCCGGUGUGUUACGUCUCGGCCUCGCUGCGCUCACUGGCCUGCCCUUGGAGUCCGUCGAGCCGGUGGCGUGGCUGCCUUGCGGUGUGUUUGCCCUCCCGUGGUCGUACGCCAUGGGCAGCAACCCUCUUUUUCGGGACGGGACGCUGCUUGCGAUGGAUGCGGCGUCGAUAGCGGCGGUGGUGGCUCUGCAUCCGCGUAAGGGGGAUCGUGUUCUGGACCUUUGCUGUGCUCCCGGCAUGAAGCUGGGACUUCUGGCGGAUGCAGUGACGAGGGGUCACGCCGGGGGCACCGGCGCGCAGCUCUCUGUGGCGUCGCCGGCCCUAGCAGACGGCCUCGUUGUUGGCGUGGAUGUGAGUCUCUCUCGCUUAUAUAUGACUCGAUCCACACUCAAAAAGCAGCAGCAGCAGGGUGGCACCGCUGACACUCAGGCAUCGCUUCCUGUGUGCUUGUUUGCCGGUGAUGGGUGCCGCUUCUCCAUGGAAAGCGCAGCGGCAGCGCUCGAUCUCACCGGAUCGGCUGUGGAUGCUGGGACAGGGCUGACCAAGGUGGAGAAGCGGUUGCUUCAACGUCAGCACAACGUGACCACGACAACCGCAGGAUCGAAGCGAGGCCGUCCAGCUUCGGGGGCGGCUGCGUGUUUAGUCUCUCACGAGACGGAGUCGAGUCCGCCGCCAACCGUAGUCUAUGCCCCCACCCACAUCCGCGCCAUUGUGGCUGCAUGGCUGCACGGAAAAGCCUGCGGCUCGCAAGCGGAUGAUGCAUUGACUACGUCUCCGUCGCGGCAGCAGCCGCUGCUAUUUGACCGCGUUCUUGUGGAUGCAGAGUGCUCACACGACGGCUCUGUCGCCCACAUGCAGCUCGGCGCGCCGCAUGCGAAUACCGCUGAUACAGUGCGCAACUCCGCACCUGGUACUUGUUCGGCGUCCUCGGCGGUAUCGACUAUUCGGAAAGGCAGAGGCGUUGAUAACGAGUAUCGCAUGCAUCACAUGAACCUUGGCAUCGCGGAGGGUGAAGUGGGGUCGCAGACAGAGAAGGCGCCAUCAGCAUCUUCGCAGCCCCUCGCAAGCUCCCGUGCUGAGAGCGGCGAGCACAGCAAGAAAGACGCCCCCUCCCCUUCAUCCACCUCUCUCUUUGCUCUCCAGUCGAAGCUGCUAGACAAUGGCUAUCGCCAGCUUCGACCAGGUGGGACGCUUGUGUACGCCACCUGCUCCUACUCGUACGUGCAAAACGAGUAUGUUGUGCGCCGAUUCCUGGAGCGCGCCAACGCGGUCAAUGAGAAGGUGGAUCAGUGUGACGUGUGCGGCCGUCCCACGGUCAAUGAGGUCCAGAGACGGGCUACAGCCGUUUUGGUACCAGCCUUCUCUUACGCGCAUGAGGUAGACGGGAAGAGUGUGCCUGGCGUUGCCAGCGACGACAGCGUCGCCGCUUGUGUGCGGAUGGAUAGCGAGGAGCAACGGCGUGACGUGCAGCGACUCCUGGAUGCACACGUCUUCGACUACGGCACAGUGCAGAGAGGGCACGACAGGUACGCUUAUGUCGAAGGUGCUAAUCACGGCGCCCUCUCUGCGGACGAGCACGCCGACUUGGGGAGUCGUUUCUGGCCCCGCGUCUUUCGGUCCAGCUUUCUCUACGUGGCAAAGAUAUGGAAGAGGCCACCAGAAGUCACUGUAUCGGUUGAGGGCGGUAGUAGAGGAUGUCGUGAGUGAGAAGAAAACGUGCUCGUGCUCGGAAGCCGCUGCUGUCGAAGUGAUCAGUGCAACGUGGAGG
rnacentral:misc_RNA from 1 species